AUCCAGCUGAUGAGUCUCAAAUAAAACAAAACGCACGUCCAGGAU
rnacentral:hammerhead_ribozyme from 1 species